AUCCUUUUGUAGUUCAUAAGCAUGAUGACUGGGUUUUCAUAUCACGUGUGAGACGUGCCUCCCUUAAACCUUGUUACCACGUUGGCACAUUACCUGUCUGAUG
rnacentral:snoRNA from 1 species